UACGUAGGGGGCAAGGCGUUGUCCGGAAUCAUUGGGCGUAAAGAGCGUGUAGGCGGCCAGAUAAGUCCGCUGUGAAAUCUCGAGGCUCAACUUCGAGCUGUCGGUGGAAACUGUCUGGCUAGAGUCCGGAAGAGGAGAAUGGAAUUCCUGGUGUAGCGGUGAAAUGCGCAGAUAUCAGGAAGAACACCCGUGGCGAAGGCGGUUCUCUGGGACGGUACUGACGCUGAGACGCGAAAGCGUGGGGAGCGAACAGG
rnacentral:rRNA from 1 species